GGCUGGGGGGUGUCUCCUUUGAAAACCCCGGGCCUGGGGGUCAAGGGCACAGACCAGGGGGUGCCCUGUCCCUCCCUCUUCGAAUCACCAUUUUGCAUUUGAGCCUGAAGCCCCCAUUCCUGCAGUUGUCUUGCACUGUUUCCGCAGGCUAGCACAUUCCUGCCUUGCUUUGUUUUGCUUUUAGGGUUUCCACCCCCCCCCCUUCCAAAGAAAGGUUAAUACUUUGUGUGUCUUUGCCAGGACUCAAGUCCUGGCUAGUUUUGGGAUUAGGGGCCAAUGGCUUCAUUCCUCUGAGCCUAGAUUUGGGACGUGGGACAAAUUUCUCUCUUUCAAGCUUCCCUCCCCUUAUCUGUGAGGCAGGGACGUUAGCUCUGGCCUCAGAGUUUGCCCCGAGGGCCACAUCAGGCCGUGAGCAUGCCAGGGCUGUCCCUGUGAGUCGCCACUCACUUUUGCCUCCAUUUCUGUAGUAAUUCUUUUCCUUUCACCCAAAUCGGGCACAGGGCUGGGCAUGUGCCGGGAUUCUUGUUAAGUUGUACUGAACCGAAUUUUCUAGGCCAAGGAUCCCCACUGAAGUUGGACGGACUAGCCAAGCUCCGGACCGUUCGGGAAGCGCCAUCUGAGUGUGUCUGCCCCCCAGGGCCCCCCGGACGUCGAGGAAAGCCUGGGAAAAGAGGCGACCCCGGUCCUCCGGUAAGUGUCCUGGACUGCGCUCUCUGCUCCCGAAAGAUAAGACAUUUGGUAUUUUCUCUGCAGUGCUUCGGUGAAAAUAAUGUUUGGUUAGAGGGGUGUGUCCUUAAAAAAAAAAAAUCAGUCUUAGACAGGGGCCACAUUAUUUUCCAAUUUGUAGGUGAGUGCAAGCAGUGAGUUCCACGGGCUUGACUUGCCCCGAAACAUUCUGGGACCGUUUCCCUUCCAAGAGAGCUGGCCCUCGCCUGGCUGCGCCUCACCAAGGCUUGGCUCAGCUUGGUGGGCAGGAUGCAAGCACCAUGCCUGUGGCUUUGAAACGCUCUGUGGCAACUGGCAUUUUCAAACGCUUUUGUCUCAAAUACGUUGGCAGAAAGGGCGCUAGAGUGAGGCACUUGUUCCAGGAAUAGGUUGGGCUUGAUCAGCAGACCCUGGGGCCAUCUUUCUCGUUUGCCAGAGGAUGCAUGGGACAG
rnacentral:lncRNA from 1 species